AGAAAAACUCCGAUGUUCGAGGUCUACUCUUGUCAGCCACCUACUACGGCCGUGCACCUCUGAGGUCCGGCCGAAGACCAUACCCUGACGCCCCUCUGCCAUUUAUUGCGCAUGGUCGCUGUAACCCUCCGGCUCACUCCACAAUAAAUGCGGAUCUCCGGCUUACUCCACAAUUAAUGCGGAUCUCCGGCUUACUCCACAAUUAAUGCGGAUCUCCGGCUUACUCCACAAUAAAUGCGGAUCUCCGGCUUACUCCACAAUUAAUGCGCAUGGCUCCUGUCAUCUACGGACUCUCAGCUCUCCACGACAAAUUAGCCCAGCAGAGUCUAGUCGACUAUGAUAAGUCUCUGAUCCCGGCCAUACCUCCGACACCAAUGCAAUAAUUCGCCUGGUAGCGUGCUAGUUCGGGUUGUACGACGCCCUCACCGCCGACAUCGGUGCAAUGAUUCGCCUGACCGUGCGCCGACCUGAACAACAUGCCGAGCCGUAUUACGGCCUCGCCCUGUUACAUCGCAGGUAAACCGACCCCCGCCUAUAAAAGGGAGCCUUGGCCUCUCAGGAGGGGGAAAGAUUGAUGCACUCUACAGACA
rnacentral:lncRNA from 1 species